rnacentral:rRNA from 1 species
UACGGAGGGUGCGAGCGUUGUCCGGAAUCAUUGGGCGUAAAGGGCGCGUAGGCGGCCGAUCAAGUCAGAUGUGAAAGUCCUGGGCUUAACCUGGGGACUGCAUUUGAUACUGAUUGGCUUGAAUGCAGGAGAGGAUAGCGGAAUUCCCAGUGUAGAGGUGAAAUUCGUAGAUAUUGGGAAGAACACCGGUGGCGAAGGCGGCUAUCUGGACUGUGAUUGACGCUGAGGCGCGAAAGCGUGGGGAUCAAACAGG